rnacentral:rRNA from 1 species
UGACAAAACAUAAGAGGUCCAGCCUGCCCAGUGAUAAAAUUCAACGGCCGCGGUACCCUAACCGUGCGAAGGUAGCAUAAUCACUUGUUCUUUAAAUGAGGACCUGUAUCAACGGCACUACGAGGGCUAUACUGUCUCCUCUUUCCAAUCAAUGAAACUGAUCUCCCCGUGAAGAAGCGGGGAUCAAAAUAUAAGACGAGAAGACCCCAUGGAGCUUUAAACUCACCAUACACCUCUGUGCCCCACACCUUUAGACACAAGAGAUCUGCAUGUUGGUUUUAGGUUGGGGGGACCACGGAGCAUAACUUAACCUCCGUAACAAAUGGGCUAACACCCUUAUCCACGAGACACAACUCUAAGAAUUAUUAAACUAAUGCUUAUGACCCGAUAUUCGAUCAAUGAACCAAGUUACCCUGGGGAUAACAGCGCAAUCUACUUCAAGAGCCCAUAUCGACAAGUAGGU